ACGAAUUAUUUAAUGUUUGAAAAAAUGUUCCAUACCUAAUUUUUUAAUUGAAAGGUAUUUUGAAAUUAAAUCUGCCUGAAAUAGUUCCUCUAUAAAAGUUAUACUUUUUACUUUGUUCAUUGAUUGUUCAUUUGCGUUCAAAACAAAUUGGUUGAAACCGUUUUACUUUUUUGUAUAACACACGUGUAUAAAUGUACCUUGAAUAGUUUUUCACCAGGGUUCCUGUUUUUUUUUAACAAACGUUUUUAUUUUUCACCUUCCACAACUACCUCAAUGGGAUGGAAAACUUCCCACCUGAAGAGACAAUCCCAGUCCCACAUUGAACAAGAAGAAGAAGAAGAAGAAAGAAAAAAGCAGAAUUGCAGCAAUGACAGUCAAUCGAGUCAAUUCAGUAAAGAAAAUGACAAUCAACCGGCCAAUCUUCACUUAGGUGAGAAAGAAACUUGAUGAAAUUUGGGUAUUAAAAAAAAUUGUUUUUCACACUCAUUUUAUUCAUUUACAUAACUUAUAUAAAUACACAUGUUAAAUCAUGGACGCGUGUAACAAAUGAUAAACAUUAUAUUACAAUAUAUACAAGCUCAGUCUUUAUACAUUUCAUAUUUUCUUUAUAUAAAUAAUAAUAAUAAUUAUAAGUAAAUAAUAAUAAAAUGUUGCAGAGUUCACAUUUUAUUUAAAUAAUAGUAAACAAUUUUCAUUAUUGUUUGAAUUUAGGCUAAAUAUUGCGUCAAAAAAUUGCAUAGGUUAGAAAACAAAAAAUUUGAUAUUUAGUUAAAAUAACAAUUUAAAAAGCGAUACAGGAAAAAAUACAAGAGUAUAAAAUAUUGCCACAUGUCUUAAUACACUAUUUUAGUAGUGAGAUAUGUUUUAUAAUUAAUUAACAAAAAUCAGUUUUGGAAUGUUAGAUAUGAUUAUAUAAAAUUAAUCGUAGGUGGGCAGUAUGAUUAAUAUGUUCUGCGUUACAAUUUAAUGUUAACAGUUUGCAUAGUGUUUGUACAAAAUCUUCUUUUGAUAUGCUCUUUGUACAACGGAUGGCAGUUUGAUAAAGUUUGGUCCUGUUGCACGAUCGAGAGGAAUCGACAAUAUUCGCCCGAUUUUUUGCAAACCCUUUACUUUUAUUCAAUCAUUACUUCAACCCUUUGCAAAUUGUGUAACGCACCUGUAACAAGUGCAAACCGGGAAAUUAAACUGUAAUUAACAUUGCCAAUUUUCUUUGUAUGCCGCAUGUGAUAUAACUUUUUUUUCCAUUUGUCACUUAAUGUAAAACAAUAAAUUGUCGAGACACUACUAAAUAUGAUAAAGAUUAAAAAUUAAUUGGAUUUAUAUUUUGGGAAUGUUUUCACAUUUUGUAAAAGGUCAAAACUGAAUAAAAUCAUUAGGUUAAGAAAAACAGUAAUAAAUGUAAUAAAAAAAAUUACUGUCUAUAAAGUACUGCCACAAUAUUAGUGUAGAGUAGCAUGAGCUUAGAUUAAAAAAAAAAAAAAAAAAAAAAAUCACUGAAAACCC